GUGCAGCAGGCGCGAAACCUCCGCAAUGCGGGAAACCGUGACGGGGUCACCCCGAGUGCCUCCCGAUAAGGGAGGCUUUUCCCCGCUGUAAACAGGCGGGAGAAUAAGCGGGGGGCAAGUCUGGUGUCAGCCGCCGCGGUAAUACCAGCCCCGCGAGUGGUCGGGACGGUUAUUGGGCCUAAAGCGCCCGUAGCCGGCCCGGCAAGCCCCCGCGUAAAGCCCCGGGCUUAACCCGGGGAAUUGCGGGGAUACUACCGGGCUAGGGGGCGGGAGAGGCCGAGGGUACUCCCGGGGUAGGGGCGAAAUCCUGUAAUCCCGGGAGGACCACCAGUGGCGAAGGCGCUCGGCUGGAACGCGCCCGACGGUGAGGGGCGAAAGCCGGGGGAGCAAACUGGAUUAGAUACCCCGG
rnacentral:rRNA from 1 species